rnacentral:rRNA from 1 species
CGGGUGAGUAAUGCCUAGGAAUCUGCCUGGUAGUGGGGGACAACGUUUCGAAAGGAACGCUAAUACCGCAUACGUCCUACGGGAGAAAGCAGAGGACCUUCGGGCCUUGCGCUAUCAGAUGAGCCUAGGUCGGAUUAGCUAGUUGGUGAGGUAAUGGCUCACCAAGGCGACGAUCCGUAACUGGUCUGAGAGGAUGAUCAGUCACACUGGAACUGAGACACGGUCCAGACUCCUACGGGAGGCAGCAGCC